CAGAAGAAAGGACAUCUAACCUACAUCAAAUGUUUUCUUUAUACACUCUAGAAUUUAGUGGCAGCUGAACAUCCUUCAUCUCAUCCUUCCUUACCAGGCUUAUAGGAAAACCCACAGUGACCAUGAAAGUCUCCCUCUAGAGCCAGCGUUGGGUUUGUCCAUCCAGGGCUACUGUAGAAAGAUGCAGCAUGAUGGACUCUGUGGAAGACGACCCUCUGCAGACAUAAAGAACUCAAUCCAAGAUAUAUUAGCACUACCUUCGGUGGCUGACCUGUGGUACAGUGAUGACCUGUGGUGUGACAGGUGAGGUGUUGUAUAUGUCCUCUAGUCAGAGUUGAUAACGGGUGUUGUUUGAAUCAUCGUUAUAAACACACACAGAACAUCAUGUUUAAUUUAAAAAAGGUAGAAGGUCUUUAUUAAUGUACAGUCCUUUGUUUAUCCACAAUCACCAUCUACUUCAGUGAGUCCAUAUCCUUAUGUGUGUUUAGCUGUUUGUUAGUUUCAUGUUAGGCCAGUAUCAGAAAACAGUCAUGAAAAGCAAUUUGUUCUGUACCGCACAUACAUUCUGUAAAAGAUGGAUGUCACCUUUGGGUUUGAAAAGGGAAAUCAGUGUUAAAAUUAUGAUUUGUCACCUCAGCAAACAUUUUCCCGGUCAGUUUAUGGUCUCAACUGGUAGUUUGGAGACUCCUUCAAUAUGCAUGAUGUUUAUUUAAUAAAUUAUGGUACCAUUUAGAGUCCAGCCCCCCUGCAACCCUACACAGGAUUAAACGAUGUAUGGAUUAUAGAUGGAUGGGUGGUAUCAUUUAGAGUCAACUGGACCAUAAAGCAGGGUGUGCUUUAACCCUUUAAUGCUCAACAGAUACCCAUUUUCCAUUGAAUAUUGGUCACUUUUGCCUCAUGUUGUGCAUCAAAGGGUUAAGGUGGGGCUACAUUGUGAUUCACUACAAUAAGUGUUUGUGUAGUGACCUUGAGUUCUGGGUCAGAUAGUAAACUACCAAAUUUAAAGUUUUGAAGCAUUUUUCCACAUCUUGUUGGCUCCGUCCAUGUUCCACAGACCAUCUAUGGUGCUGUAAUGUGGUGUAAUUAGACCGUCAUGGUGGAUGCUACAAAAUGGCAUCUGGUAAAUCCACCUGGCUAAAAGUACAAAACACAACAACACAUUUAAGAAUUAAAUUGAAGGAAGCAGGUAGGAGUUUAUGCUCAUAUCCUUUUAUAAACAAAAAAAAUCGUUGGGGUGCUCGUUUAGAUCUGUUAAAGUUGGCCGUUGACUGUAAAAUGUGAGUAAUAUGAAGCCGUAUAUUACCUCUUCCAUCCACCAGGCCGGUUACCCCAGUUCCCUGUGAUUGUUAUUCUGGUAGAUCGUCCUCUCAUCUUCACAGAAGCAACCUUCCAGCGACCCCCAGAUGUAAGAACAUGGUUGUGUGUUUCUGCAAGCAGCCUCAUCUAUAUUCAUCCCCACGGGCCACCUAAAGAUACGUAUUAACUUCAGGGGCCUCGGGCUGGGUGUGCAGGGGCUGCCUAAUUACACAAGUGUUAUCUUAGGGGGCACAGAUAGAAAACAGAUUAGAGCACCCAGGAGCAUUCAGCCACAAACACACCGACGGUUUUUCUUUCAGAAGAGAACACGUAUAAUGGCCUGGAUAGUCAAAUGAGAGAGGUAGUAAUGGAAAUCAUCUGUCAGGCAGAGGUGUUUCACUCAGUGAGCGACAUAUUGUAGACAAAAUAAAAGGUACAACACAGUAAGCAUGUGUAGUAGCAAACAGUACAAGAUGGGAAAGUAGCAUACGGUACUAUUAAAAUGUGCCUAAAUACAUUCAUAGUGCAGACAAAACAAUCAGGACCUUUACUUUCUAGUAGCUUGCUGUAAUAUACCAUUUAAUAUUAUAUAGUAACACAUCAUCUAAUGUAGUACAUCUGUUUACCUCUGGAUUUCUAAUAGUUUAAAUCUGGUUAGGUGACCUUACCUCCUGUAAAGCUCUGAGAGACCACCCUGAUUGUUAAAAGCCAUAGAUAUAAAAUAGUAGCUUUAUUUCUAUGGUAAAAGUGCUUUAUAAACAGACUCGUUUACAGCUACAGUAUAAUGUGUUACAGGAGACUGGAUCCAUUCUAACGCUGCGUGACUAAAAGACUAAAAGCUCACAACCAAACGAUGUCUGAGAGAACGGACUGAUCGUUAAAAAAAAAAUACAAAGUAGGUGGCAGACGUCGUUACUGUGCAUGUGCAAAAAAAGGCCUUGGCAAGGUGAAAAAUAGAAAUACUCUACUUUGAAUAGUAAUACUAUUAACUGUAUAUAAAAAUGCUGAACUGCUGUCCCAAGAGUCCCAAACCGUCUUGGUUCAAACAGUGGAGAUCCCUUUGGCACCUUGCUAGUUUCCUGUUAGUCAGUGAGUCUGAAGGUCUGAGGAGGACUCUGCUCCGUUUCUUUGACCUCCGUCUUCAGCGAGGGGAGCGCCAUCUCCGUUAUCGUCCAUGAGGAAACAGUGUUCUGAUGUCAGGUCGACUUCCACAGAGGGUUAUUAUAGAUCCAACCGUCUCCCUGCACAGUGAAGAGGAAAAAAAAAAAACAUUUGAGAGAAUAGCAACUGUCAAUUACUGAAGCAGACUCAGAGGGUCGGAUCUGUAAAACUUUCAAAAGAAAGACCAAUUUAAAUCCAACCCAGAAACACAAAUAGUGCUAUAUAAGCAUGUAGGUUCCGAUACACUGAAGUUGAAGCAUUUCUUAUUGACCCUGCAGAAGCUGUCCCAAAGGCCCGGGAUGAAGGUUCGCUCCUUGUGCCAGAAGUAUCGGCAGAAACUGCAGAUAAAUCUUCUGUCCAGCUUUAAUCUCACAGUGUAAAGUUCUGCCUCCUACUUCAUCAUAUCAGGGCUGAGACGUUCCCCGAAGCUACAAAAAAGGCUUAUUUUAGAGUCAGGAAACAGAUUCGUUGGGUUCAUGAAAUUUCAAAAUGUUGCUGGAACUAUUUGGGCUUCAGUUCCAGCAGAUAAUCUGGAUGGAUUUUUGCUGUAAUCAGUUUUCAGAAGCACCAGGUUCUACUGAAGUAGUAAUCCAUUUGAAAGCUGUUCAGUGAGGUCUAGAUGACCUAAAACUGCUAAUACCUGGAGUGGAAAGUACAGCAAGCACUGCAAUUAAAAAAAUAAAACAGUUUUGAUUGGAUUCUGAAUAUAUAUCAUUAAAACUGUUAAUAAUGAGAUGAUGUAUAACAGACUAAUGAGGUUGUCAUGACAUCCAGUGAUGCAAACAAAAAGGUAAAUAUUAAAGAUAAGUCAGCAUACUUAUUUUUGCCAAUUCUAAUCAUAGCCUUGACUUCUCUUUCUGCUUCUUUAAGAUGUUUACCUCCUUACUUCUGACUGACUCGUGGUGUGGAUAGCAGUGAAACUGCCUGGGGAGGACUCUCAGGACUACCUUGUAUGUAGCUGGUAUACAUCAGCCACAGUGGAUUACGCUGGAGAACCAAAGUGAAGUGAAGGUUCUAUUGUUCAGAUUAUUCCACUUGUUGGACGACAUACUAAACGAUGACGUUUUUGGUCACAUUUUGGACGACAUACUAAACUGUG